rnacentral:sRNA from 1 species
UGACUUGGGACAGGGCUGUCUCUUCAGUCCUUACCACACCGUGGACGAGAUCAACCUUAAGACAGCACCCUGGGCUC